AAGUUCCCAACCCUGUUGGAACAUCUGAUUGACAACAUCAACAAAUAAGUAAUAAACUGUCAUUUUCGUGAUAAAUUGUUCUUUUUAAACAAAUAUAUUUUCAAACAAUUACCUCUUAAAAUACAAUUCAUCGUCUAUAAGUCUGUCACUAAGAAACUUAUUAACUGAACUUUGACAUAAAAAACUAAGUAUUGAACGAAGUAAUUUUAUUACAUCAAAAAACUAAGUUUUAAACGAUUGUUACUUAAAAUAGCAGAACAACAAUGUUUCUGUUAUGAUUCGCCGAUUCGUUUAAUCAAUAUUACAAUAUUCAAGGAGAUUUCUGCCUGAAAUUAUAUAAUUAGCAAGGCGGCGUGGCGCCGUACGGUGUGCAGAGCAGGUGAUGCGCCUGUAACGAGUUCCUAUAGAAAUCUGAUUCUUUUGUCCCGUCUAUUAUAUUCUACCGUCCAAUUUUCGUAUACCUGACUAUAGAUAGGCAUUCGUUCCUUGCCUUCGAAUAACGGCAAAAUUUUAGUACAAAACUAGACUCUGAACUGUCAAGUCGUGCGUUUAUAUCUAUUCAGUUUAUAUCUAUUUUCGUCGUGAUUUAAAAAAUGAGUCAAUCCAAGUGUAGUAGAGAAAAACGAGCACUUACGGGCUUCCAUAAAUCGCGACCAAAGAAGAGGAAAAACGUUUUCAAUCCAAAAACAGCUGAGACUGAUGAAAAAAAUUUUAGUGCCUGCGCGAAAAAAUUCAAAAAUCAAGACGAACUCAUUGUUCCACGUGAUGUGUCGAUUGAAUAUAGAAUUUUAAAUUUCAUAACUGUCUUUGCAUCAAUCUCGGAGUUUGUAAAAUGUAAAGACUGUGGUGGAAAUGUGUCAUUUAAAACUGAUAGUCAAAGAGGACUUGGUUUUAAAAUUAUUAUCGUAUGUGACAAGUGUGCGAAUAGAUGUGUCAAUUCGAGUCCCUUAAUCGGACAUUCUUAUGAAAUAAAUAGACGUUUUAUAUUUGUGAUGAGAGUGCUCGGAUUAGGGUUGAACGGUUGUGCAAAAUUUUGUGGAUUAAUGGAUAUGCCCGGUUUCCUAAGUCAGAGUUCAUAUGAUUCUAUAGUAAAAAGUAUACACGGUUGUGUGAAAAUAGUCAGCGAAAAACUUUUCCAACGCGCUGCAACGGAAGAAAAGGAGAAAAAUUCUGAACAGAAGGAGAAAACUGAAGGUUUGACAGUGUCUGCUGAUGGUACAUGGAAGAAACGAGGAUAUUCUUUGUAUGGUGUGACAUCGCUAAUCGGCUAUUAUACUGGAAAAAUUCUCGAUCUUUCGGUGAAGAGUUCUAACUGCAAAGAGUGCGAAGUUUGGAGUGAGAAAGAAGGUACUGCAGAAUUUGAAGAAUGGCAAGAAUCUCAUCAAGAUAAUUGUUCUGCAAAUCAAGAGGGGUCCUCUGGAAAAAUUGAUGCAGCGGUGGAAAUGUUCAAGCGCUCAGAGGAGAAACAUAAAGUGCAGUAUAAAAACUACAUUGAAGACGGCGAUUCGAAAAUUUACGGCGAAAUUCUAAAAGCUGCACCUUACGGUAAAAAUGAGGUAGUGAAGAAAGAGUGUAUUGUCAACGUCCAGAAGAGAAUGGACACACGACUUCGAGAAUGUGUUAAAAAAAAUUUAGAAGAUGUUGACAAAAGUGGUAAAACGAGACAAAGAAACGUUGUUGGUGAAAAAGAAAAACUCCCUGCGAAAUUAAUCGACAAGUUAACUGUUUAUUACGGUUUAGCGAUGAGAAGAAAUUGUGACUCUGUGGAGAAUAUGCGUAAUGCGAUUAUGGCAACAUACGAACAUUACUGUUCUACAGAUGAGAAUCUACAACAUGAGAAGUGUCCCAUUGGAAAAGAUUCUUGGUGCUCUUGGCAACGCGCAGCAGCUGAGAAUGAAUUACAAUCAUUUGAACAUGAUUAUAAACCGUUUCCAACUGAAGUUGCUAAAGCACUGUUACCAAUUUAUAAAGAUCUUAGCAGUGACAACUUAUUGGAAAGAUGCAUUGGUGGCUUUACACAAAACAAUAACGAAAGCUACAACCAACUGAUUUGGAACAUCAGUCCAAAAAUUAUCCCAAGUGGGGAUAAAAUUGUUGAAAUGGCAGCAUUAAUAGCAUCUUGUAUUUUUAACGAAGGGUCAACAUCACUAUUGUAUAUUAUGAAUGCAUUGGGAAUAUCACUUGGACCGAAUUUCCAUUCGUAUGCAGAAUGUACAUCGAACUUCGAUCUCAAAGGAAAGGGCGCAUUAGAACACCAGGGAGGUGCAUAAGAUUAAAAUUCUGGAAGCUGCAACUGGAAUGGACGACUCACUUUAUGGUCCUGGAAUAGAUGAAUUGAUAUAAUUCUGUCAGAAUUUAUGUUGCUCACCGAGAGAACCAUUUUUUUCGAGGACCUUUUGGCAAUCGCAUUUAUAAAGGACAGAAAAAUUAAUAUUUUUGUAAAUUAAAAAUUAUUUUAAAAACACUAAAAGAUGUAUAUAUGUAAUAUAGAAAAACUUUCAUUUUAAGAAAUAAAUAUUCCCUUAAAAAAAAA